rnacentral:rRNA from 1 species
UACGAGAGGCCCAAACGUUAUUCGGAAUUACUGGGCUUAAAGAGUUCGUAGGCGGCAUGAGAAGUAGGGUGUGAAAGCCCUCGGCUUAACCGAGGAAUUGCGCUCUAAACUGUCGUGCUCGAGGAACCUAGAGGUGAGCAGAACAGAUGGUGGAGCGGUGAAAUGCGUUGAUAUCAGUCUGGAAUACCGGAGGCGAAGGCGGCUCACUGGGGGUUUUCUGACGCUGAGGAACGAAAGCCAGGGU